CCUACGGGAGGCAGCAGUGGGGAAUAUUGGGCAAUGGGCGAAAGCCUGACCCAGCAACGCCGCGUGAAGGAAGAAGGCUUUCGGGUUGUAAACUUCUUUUCUCAGGGACGAAAAAAGUGACGGUACCUGAGGAAUAAGCCACGGCUAACUACGUGCCAGCAGCCGCGGUAAUACGUAGGUGGCAAGCGUUAUCCGGAUUUAUUGGGUGUAAAGGGCGUGUAGGGGGGAGCGCAAGUCAGAUGUGAAAACUCAGGGCUCAACCCGGAGCCUGCAUUUGAAACUGUGUUUCUUGAGUGCUGGAGAGGCAAGUGGAAUUCCAGGUGUAGGGGUGAAAUGCGUAGAUAUCUGGAGGAACAUCAGUGGCGAAGGCGACUAUCUGGCACAUAACUGACGCUGAGGAGCGAAAGCGUGGGUAGCAAACAGGAUUAGAUACCCGAGUAGUC
rnacentral:rRNA from 1 species